AGCAGCCGCGGUAAUUCCAGCUCCAAUAGCGUAUAUUAAAGUUGUUGCAGUUAAAAAGCUCGUAGUUGAAUUUCGGGAUUGACGUGAUGGUCAUGCCUUAAGGGGUAUGAACUGUCGCUGUUGAUUUCUCACCUUCUGGAGAAACUUGAUGUCCUUAAUUGGGUGUCUUGCGGAUCCAGGACCUUUACCUUGAAAAAAUUAGAGUGUUUAAAGCAGGCAUUUUUGCUCGAAUACAUUAGCAUGGAAUAAUAGAAUAGGACGGCAUGGUUCUAUUUUGUUGGUUUCUAGGAUCACCGUAAUGAUUAAUAGGGAUAGUUGGGGGCAUUAGUAUUCAAUUGUCAGAGGUGAAAUUCUUGGAUUUAUUGAAGACUAACUACUGCGAAAGCAUUUGCCAAGGAUGUUUUCAUUAAUCAAGAACGAAAGUUAGGGGAUCGAAGACGAUCAGAUACCGUCGUAGUCUUAACCAUAAACUAUGCCGACUAGGAAUCAGACGAUGUUAAUUUUUUCAAUGACUCGUU
rnacentral:misc_RNA from 1 species